CUCCACAGAGCUUUCAGCCAUUACCUCCGUGCUUAGCUCUGCACUCCAUUGAGCCAGAGAACCAUGUGCUGAUGAAAACAUCUCAGAGUGCCAUUGCAACCAUUCUGGGGGGCACAGUGGGAACCUUGCCCGCAAACAGGGCUAGACAAGCCCACCAGUAUACUGAAAAAAUGAGGUAAUCAGGGGGUCCAGCCAUUUAAUAGUGCUCCAGACCCUGACUGUGUGUGUGUCAGUAUGUGUAUCUGACUGUGUGUGUGUACCUGGCUGUGUGUGUAUGUGUUUUUGGCUAUGUGUGCUUGUGUGUAUCUGGCUUGUAUGUCAGUCUGUGUAUCUGGGUCUGAGUGUAUCUGACAGUGUGUGUCAGUGUGUGUCCUCCUUGUUCUCUGAUACUGUUUUACAAUGCAAAAAGGUAUUUUGAAC